rnacentral:rRNA from 1 species
CUGGCUCAGGAUGAACGCUAGCGACAGGCUUAACACAUGCAAGUCGAGGGGCAGCAUAAAAGUAGCAAUACUUGGUGGCGACCGGCGCACGGGUGAGUAACGCGUAUGCAACCUACCUAUCGAGGGGGGAAUAACCCGGCGAAAGUCGGACUAAUACCGCAUAAAACAGGGGCACCGCAUGGUGAUAUUUGUUAAAGAAAUUCGCUGAUAGAUGGGCAUGCGUUCCAUUAGGUAGUUGGUGAGGUAACGGCUCACCAAGCCGACGAUGGAUAGGGGAACUGAGAGGUUGGUCCCCCACACUGGUACUGAGACACGGACCAGACUCCUACGGGAGGCAGCAGUGAGGAAUAUUGGUCAAUGGGCGGGAGCCUGAACCAGCCAAGUCGCGUGAAAGGAAGAAGGAUCUAUGGUUCGUAAACUUCUUUUGCAGGGGAAUAAAGUGCAGGACGUGUCCUGUUUUGUAUGUACCCUGAGAAUAAGGAUCGGCUAACUCCGUGCCAGCCGCAGC